rnacentral:tRNA from 4 species
GCCGAGGUGGCGGAACUGGUAGACGCGCACGUUUGAGGGGCGUGUGCCGCAAGGCGUACGGGUUCAAGUCCCGUCCUCGGCACCA